rnacentral:lncRNA from 10 species
CAAAAGUUAAGGCUGGAAAUGCAAGCCAGGGGUAAGAUCAUCAAGGAAUUUUAUGCCAAAUUCAGGCAUUUUGAUUUUAUCUUACGGGGAAUAGGAAACUACUGAAGGAGUUAAGCUUGGAAGUAAAUGAUCAGAUUUAUGUUUUAAAAUGGUGACAUAUCCCUAACACCUAAUGCAGUCUGUGGCCAGAAUAAUUCCUCAAAAAAACCAGUAAAUGAACUUUUUGUGGAGAAUGGAUUUGAGAGGAGCAAUAUUAGAGGCAGGUGGACCAGCAGGGAGGCUGCUGCAGCCACUCAGGUGAGAAAUGAUGACUGGCUUCUCCAAGUGCCCCUGGGGUGGUGGUGGACAGUAUUGCUACAUCCGCCUGCAAAGGUUGCUUCUCACCCUUCACCCCGAUGGUCAAGACAUGCAAUCUUCACCCUGCAGGUAUCUUCACGGUUUUUCAGAAGAGCAAAAGUCACCAUCCUAAUUCUACACUUUCAAAAUGUCUCCCUGAUUACCCCCUUUGCACUUAGGGAAAUCACAAAGCAGAGAGCCUCCUCAUCUAGAGGAAAGCAUAGGGGUCCCUUGUCUCAGAAUCAUCAAAGUCUCUUUUUCAGAUUUCUGCAACCCAACCAUUAGCACAGCCUAUGAGCACGUCCCUUCUUUCAAACAAAGGCGUGAAAAAGAAACGGCAACAACCACUCAAAUGAAUCUUUUGGCAAAUGUACGGAUUCUGAUUUUUCCUCAAGGAGAAGGGCUCAUUAAGUAUAAGACCCUGCAUUCAGCCCUGGCCCAUAUUUACUAAAAACUAAACUGGAAAAAAAAACUCUACAAAGCCAGCUCCAGAAAGAGAGAAGUCCAUCCCAUGUGGAACUACAAUCCUGGAAAUUGAAUGUUUAAUUCAUAGAGUAAAUUACAAGAGAUUACUUGUACAAGUAGCUGCAAUGUCCUUAAAAUUAUUCUUUAACUGAGGAAAAGUUUUUUGACCUUUGGAGAAAAUGCUUGCUUCUAGCUAUGACUAAAAAGAGAUUUCCUUCUUUCUCUGUUGUGUUAAGAAUCUUUUCUUCUUAUAAAGAAGGCACCACAGUGAUUUAUAACUGUCAUAAAAGCCUGGAAUCCUUUUGAGGUUAAGCUACUCAGCUAUUCAACUUUUACUACAGAAACUUUGAAAUUCAAAAAGAAAAAAUAAUCGUGUCUAUUUGGAAACAUUACCUCGUAACAUUUGCUGCUGUAAUUCUGCGAUCCCCUGACGCUGGUAUUUGAGAAACACACUCUGGAAACGCUGUGGUUGUUUUUCACAGGAACCCAGGGAGCUAUCAAAGUCGGAGAACGUGCCUCUGUUUGCAGGAGAGGUGGGCAGGCAGCGAGAUCCCCGCGCACCGCUCGCUCGGGCUGCGGGCAGGCAGCAAUCAGCUAAUUGCCUAAUCGGAGUGGGGAGCUGGUGCCCGCUCGCCGCGGUCGCCUCGCGGGUCACAGACAAGAGAGCGGCUUGUUUUCUCUCUGUCACAUCGUCGUCUUGAACCGUGUGGUCUGUUGCAGGGGAAGGGGCCGAGCUGGAGGAGCGAGCGGGCGGGCGGCGCUUGGCACAUCCCGAAGAACGCUGCCUCGGUUGCCUGCGAACGCUCAGGGCAGGCGCCAAGGGGGCUUCAGGGGGACAGGAGCCCGUGAGAAAACUUAGCUCGCCGCGCUCUGCUCAGCUCUACCCGGCUCCGCUCUCAGGCGUGUGCUCAGAACACACCGAGAUCCUUUAGAAAUAAAUGUAAUCGAG